rnacentral:rRNA from 1 species
UAAGGAAUAUUGCUCAAUGGGAGAAAUCCUGAAGCAGCAACGCCGCGUGGAGGAUGAAGGGUCUAUGACUUGUAAACUCCUGUAAAGAAGGAAAAAAUUCCCAUUUGAUGGGAGAUGAUGGUACUUCUGGAGUAAGCCCCGGCUAACUACGUGCCAGCAGCCGCGGUAAUACGUAGGGGGCAAGCGUUGUCCGGAUUUACUGGGUGUAAAGGGUGCUCAGGCGGAUUUGUAAGUCAGAGGUGAAAUCUUACAGCUUAACUGUGAAACUGCCUUUGAUACUGCAAGCAUAGAGUAUGGAAGAGAGUGAUGGAAUAUCUGGUGUAGCAGUGAAAUGAGUAGAUAUCAGAUAGAACACCAAUGGCGAAGGCAGUCACUUGGUCCAUUACUGACGCUAAAGCACGAAAGCGUGGGUAGCAAACA